ACCGCCCUCAACUAAUUCCCGAUGCUUUCCAAAUCUGAUGAGAGACCACAAAAAGGACAGCUCUUCUAUUUAUGCAUAGCAGUCGACACGUAGAGCUAACUGCGCAUGCAAAGUAGACACGUACCCAACAUUUGGCGAAGCUACAGCUUGCGGGAAAACUCCAUAUAAGGUGGCAACUGGCAAGCUAGCUCCAACCUGAGGCAAUCGUCUUAUUCAGAAAACUGAACAAAAUUAGUAUGGAGAAGCAGCAGGGCCAAAAGAUGGAGAAAAAGGCAGAGAGUGAUCAAGAGCACAAGAAAGCAGAGAGCUUAGAGGGUCUCCCAGUUGAGGAUAGCCCCUAUCUUCAAUACGAGAACUUGGAGGAUUACAAGCAGAAGGGCUAUGGAACCCAAGGCCAUCUCCAACCGAAACCUGGCCACGGCGCUGGUGCCACCGACGCACCCACUCUCUCUGGCAGCUCGGUCCCCCUCGAGUCUGAUGUUAGUACUAUCGAUGCUAUAACCAGUCGUCACGAUCUGGGGACUCGCUGAAUUCUAUAUAUCGCUUAUAUAUUGAUAUAUAUAUAUAUAAGGUUGAGCGAGUCCUUAAUAAUUUGUAUUUUCCUUUUCAUUGAAUGUCUUUUUUUGCAAUCGAUGCAUUGUAAAAAUUAAAAAAUAUAUAUUUAUUACAUAUUAUUUGUUAAUUUAUGAGUAAAUUAUAAGUCAAUCUACAG
rnacentral:misc_RNA from 1 species